rfam:Ictidomys tridecemlineatus contig085526, whole genome shotgun sequence.
GACUUUGUGGCUCAGUGGUAGAGCACUUGCCUACUAUGUUUGAGACCCUGGGUUUGAUCCUCAGCAACA